UAAAUCAGACAUGCUCCACAUGAGAUUAUACUUAUGGAAUCAAACUGGCAAGGAAGACAAACUAGCAUUUGAAGACAACAGGUAUUUAUAGUACUCCAAACAUUCCACAAAAUAUUUCAUUGAAUACAAAGGACCAUAGGGCCAUGUAUUAUUAUGUACAAGACAGUUAAAUGGGUAUUUUAUAUUUACACAUACCUAGUUUCAUACAACCAUCUUAAGUCAAAUGCACUUCAAUUUUCAGUUUAAGAACCUUAGAAUUUAUUAGUUUGUAAGAAGCAGCAUUUGAAUUUGUAUACUAGGCAUAACCUCAACUCUAGGCUAUGUGUUGCUGUUCAUACUUUCUAUUCCUUGACUUCUUGUUGAACGUGAGGUAUCCUGAGUGACAUAGUGUUAAAAAUCCGUUAGUUGUGGUCCGGAGUCAGUUCUUACGGAUUGUCUUAAACAACAAGGAUGAGUUAGUGGCUAAUAGACUUUGUCACGUUUCUUCAAGACAAAGGGAAAUAUGGAAGGCAGAGGGCAUGGAUAUUAUCCUGACCUAGCUUUAGGCUUUUUUGAGAAAAUGAGCUAGAGUAAAAGGUAAGCAUCAAGGCCAGAAGUAAGAGCAAAAACGGAU
ensembl:antisense